rnacentral:rRNA from 1 species
UACGUAGGGAGCAAGCGUUGUCCGGAAUCACUGGGCGUAAAGGGCGUGUAGGCGGUCAGGUAAGUGAGAUGUGAAAUGCCCCGGCUCACCCGGGGACCGGCAUCUCAUACUGCUUGGCUUGAGUACGGGAGAGGAUGUGGGAAUUCCUGGUGUAGCGGUGAAAUGCGUAGAUAUCAAGGAGGAACACCGGUGGCGAAGGCGCACAGUCUGGCCCGAUACUGACGCUGAGGCGCGAAAGCUAGGGGAGCAAACGGG